rnacentral:rRNA from 1 species
GAUGAACGCUGGCGGCGUGCCUAAUACAUGCAAGUCGAGCGAACAGACGAUGCGCUUGUUCCUUUCUCGUUAGCGGCGGACGUGUGUGUAACAUGUGUAUACUCCCCUUAUAUUACUGGUAUAUUCUCGGGACUCCGGAUCUAAUACCGUAUAAUAUCUUGAACCGUAUGGUUCAAUAGUGAAAUACGGUUUUUCUGUCUCUUAUAGAUGCUUCUCCGCUGCAUUAGCUAGUUGGUAAGUUAACGGCUUAUCAAGGCUACGAUGCGUAGCCGAAUUGAGAGAGUGAUAGGCCGCACUGGAGCUGGAACAGGGACAAGACGACUGAGGGAGGGAGCAGAAGGGAAUCUUACGCAAUAGGCGAAAGCCUGACGGAGCAACGGCGCGUGAGUGAUGGAAGUCUUCGGAUCGUAAAAAUCUGUUAUGAGGGAAGAACAGAUGUGUAAGUAGAUAUACACGGAGUGACGGUAACUGAUAAAAAAGCAACGGCUAACUACGUG